rnacentral:rRNA from 1 species
AUGGUCUGCAUUAAGGCCAUUGCUUUUGUAGUUGUACUUGUCGCUGGUGCAUCGCUUGCCCCGGUGGGCGAGAGCCGCUCUGCUCGGAAGGACCUUGGUCUCAACCUUGGCAUUGGCGGGGUUGGAAUUGGUAUCAGCUUGGGUGCUGGUGUGGGCGCGGGUGGUUCUGGCUCGGGCUCGGGAUCCGGUUCCGGAUCAGGGUCAGGUUCUGGUUCAGGGUCUGGUUCGGGGUCGGGCUCGGGAUCAGGAUCAGGGUCAGGUGGUCUAGGUCUUGGACUUGGUGUUGGAGUCGGUAUUGGUGUAGGUGGUGGUAGUGGUGGUGGUGGUUCUAGUUCCGGUUCUGGAUCAGGUUCGGCAUCUGUCUCUCGUUCUGGAUCAAUUCCAGGCAUAGGAUCUGGUUCUGGAUCGGCAUCGGCUUCUGGGUUAGGCUCAGCCUCAGGAGGGGGUGGGCUUGGGCUUGGGGCUGGACUCGGUAUUGGAUUAGGUGGUGGUACUAGUGGCUCUAGCUCGGGUUCAGGGUCGGGCUCAGCUUCGGCUUCGGGCUCUGGGUCGGGAAGCGGCUCAAGCGCUGGAUCAGGUGCUAGCUCUAGUGCCGGAUCAAGUGCGGGGUCCAGUGCCGGAUCAAGUGCCGGGUCAAGUGCAGGUUCAAGUGCAGGCUCUAGUGCCCAAUCAGAAGCAGGUUCCGAAGCCAGAAGAGUGCAAGGCCACCAUUGA